AUGGAGAAGGUGGCGGAGAACGUUGACGCUGGCGCGGCGGCGCAGCUGCAGCUGAAGCUGUUCGGGUCGUGGGCGAGCUCGUACACGCACCGCGUGCAGCUGGCCAUGCGGCUCAAGGGGCUCGCCUUCGAGUACGCGGAGGAGGACCUCGGCAACAAGAGCGACGCGCUGCUGCGCCUCAACCCCGUCUACAAGAAGGUCCCCGUGCUCGUCCACGACGGCCGCUCCCUCGCCGAGUCCGUCAUCAUCCUCCAGUACCUCGACGACGCCUUCCCGGCCUCCCGCCAGCUCCUCCCCGCCGACGCCUUCGACCGCGCCGUCGCUCGCUUCUGGUGCCACUUCGGCGACGACAAGCUUGGGCCGGCGGUGGGGGCGGUGUUCGCGUCCACGGGGGAGGAGCAGGAGGCGGCGGUGCGGCAGGUGCACGAGAACCUGGCGCUGAUCGAGGCGGAGCUGCGGGAGGGGGCGUUCAAGGGCCGGCGCUUCUUCGGCGGCGACGAGGUCGGCUUCCUGGACGUCGUCCUGGGCUGCGGCUCCUACUGGCUGGCCGUCUUCGAGGAGGUCACCGGCGUGCAGCUGGUGGACGCCGAGGCGUUCCCGCUCUUCCACGCCUGGCUGCGCGACUUCGAGGCGCAGGACGAGGUGAGGGAGACCAUCCCCUCCAUCGACCGCCUGCUCGAGUACGCGCGCGGCCUCCGCCAGAUGCUGGUCGCCAUGGCCGCCGGCGCCGGCGCUGGCGCAGCCUCGGCCGACGCCCCCACCGCCGCUCCGCCCGCCGCGGCACCCCCGGCCGCCACCACGGCUGACAUCGCCGUGGACAUAUGA
rnacentral:rRNA from 1 species